AGGACGAAACGCUGGCGGCGUGCUUAACACAUGCAAGUCGAGCGGAAAGGCCCUUCGGGGUACUCGAGCGGCGAACGGGUGAGUAACACGUGAGAAACCUGCCUUUAGCUCUGGGAUAGCUUCGGGAAACCGAAUUAAUACCGGAUACGACUACUGUCGGCAUCGACAAUGGUAGGAAAGAUUUAUCGGCUAGAGAUGGUCUCGCGGCCUAUCAGCUUGUGGUGAGGUAACGCUCACCAAGGCGACGACGGGUA
rnacentral:rRNA from 1 species